UCAAGUGUCUUAAGGGCAUUUGGUGGAUGCCUUGGCAUGCACAGGCGAUGAAGGACGUGAUACGCUGCGAUAAGCGUCGGGGAGGUGCGAAUACCCUUUGAUCCGACGAUUUCCGAAUGGGGAAACCCACCUUAGAUAUCUAGAAAAUUUGAACUGUUGGAACGAUGAAGCACUGUUUUGGUUUGUUUCUCAAAAGGAGGCACCCAUACAGACCGCUAGGUCGUCGCGGCUUAUGCCGCGCCCUCCCGGAGCACAGCCCUGAAAGGGCGGUACGUGCGUGAGGGAAGAACACUUCAACUUUCUAGAUAUCAGAAUAAGGUAUCUAACUUUCGAAUACAUAGGGGUUAGAAGCGAACCCGGGGAACUGAAACAUCUAAGUACCCGGAGGAAAGGACAUCAAACGAGACUCCGUAAGUAGUGGCGAGCGAACGCGGACCAGGCCAGUGGCUUUUAUGAGACAAGUGGAACACCUUGGAAAGGGUGACCGAAGUGGGUGAUAGUCCCGUACACGUAAUGCGAAUAAAAGUCCUUGAGUAGGGCGGGACACGUGAAAUCCUGUCUGAACAUGGGGAGACCACUCUCCAAGCCUAAGUACUCGUGCAUGACCGAUAGCGAACCAGUACCGUGAGGGAAAGGUGAAAAGCACCCCGACAAGGGGAGUGAAAGAGAUCCUGAAACCGAAUGCCUACAAACAGUUGGAGCCCAAGAUUUGUUCUGGGUGACAGCGUACCUUUUGUAUAAUGGGUCAGCGACUUAGUCUGACGAGCAAGCUUAAACCGGUAGGUGUAGGCGCAGCGAAAGCGAGUCUGAACAGGGCGUUCAGUUCGUCGGAUUAGACCCGAAACCAAGUGAUCUAGCCAUGAGCAGGUUGAAGGUAAGGUAACACUUACUGGAGGACCGAACCCGCAUCUGUUGCAAUAGAUUGGGAUGACUUGUGGCUAGGGGUGAAAGGCCAAUCAAACUUGGAGAUAGCUGGUUCUCCGCGAAAUCUAUUUAGGUAGAGCGUCGAUCGAAUACCUUCGGGGGUAGAGCACUGGAUGGGCUAGGGGAUCUCACCGAUUUACCAAACCUAACCAAACUCCGAAUACCGAAGAGUACUAAUCGGCAGACACACGGCGGGUGCUAACGUCCGUCGUGAAGAGGGCAACAACCCUGACCACCAUCUAAGGUCCCUAAGUUAUGGCUAAGUGGGAAAGGAUGUGAGGAUCCCAAAACAACCAGGAUGUUGGCUUAGAAGCAGCCAUCAUUUAAAGAAAGCGUAACAGCUCACUGGUCUAAAUAAGGGUCUUUGCGCCGAAAAUGUACCGGGGCUAAAGCCAUACACCGAAGCUGUGGAUUCUUUGGAACCUUCGGGUUCCCGAGAGUGGUAGCGGAGCGUUCUGUAAGCCGUUGAAGAGAGACCCGUGAGGGCUCUUGGAGGUAUCAGAAGUGAGAAUGCUGACAUGAGUAACGAUAAAGGGAGUGAGAGACUCCCUCGCCGAAAGUCCAAGGGUUCCUGCUUAAAGUUAAUCUGAGCAGGGUUAGCCGGCCCCUAAGGCGAGGCCGAAAGGCGUAGUCGAUGGGAACCACGUUAAUAUUCGUGGGCCUGCGGGUAGUGACGGAUCGCGUAUGUUGUUCUUCCUUAUUGGAUUGGAAGGGCUUCGAAGCGGUUCCAGGAAAUAGCUCCCGCGUAUAGACCGUACCCUAAACCGACACUGGUGGACUGGUAGAGAAUACCAAGGCGCUUGAGAGAACUGCGUUGAAGGAACUCGGCAAAUUGCACGCGUAACUUCGGAAGAAGCGUGACCCUUAUGUACGCAAGUAUGUGAGGGUGGCACAGACCAGGGGGUAGCGACUGUUUACCAAAAACACAGGGCUCUGCGAAGUCGCAAGACGACGUAUAGGGUCUGACGCCUGCCCGGUGCUGGAAGGUUAAGAGGAGAGGUGCAAGCUUUGAAUCGAAGCCCCAGUAAACGGCGGCCGUAACUAUAACGGUCCUAAGGUAGCGAAAUUCCUUGUCGGGUAAGUUCCGAC
rnacentral:rRNA from 1 species